GAGUUUGAUCAUGGCUCAGAUUGAACGCUGGCGGUAUGCAUAACACAUGCAAGUCGAACGGUAGCAGGCUCGGGAAACCGAGUGCUGACGAGUGGCGGACGGGUGAGUAAUGCGUAGGGAUUUGCCUAGUAGAGGGGGAUAACCUGGGGAAACUCAGACUAAUACCGCAUAUGCCUAAGGGUGAAAGAGGGGGACCGUAAAAGGCCUCUUGCUACUGGAUGAACCUGCGUAGGAUUAGCUAGUUGGUAGGGUAAAGGCCUACCAAGGCGAAGAUCCUUAACUGGUCUGAGAGGACGACCAGUCACACUGGGACUGAGACACGGCCCAGACUCCUACGGGAGGCAGCAGUGGGGAAUAUUGGACAAUGGGCGCAAGCCUG
rnacentral:rRNA from 1 species